rnacentral:rRNA from 1 species
UUUAUGGAGAGUUUGAUCCUGGCUCAGGAUGAACGCUGGCGGCGUGCCUAAUACAUGCAAGUCGAGCGAACGGACGAGAAGCUUGCUUCUUUGAUGUUAGCGGCGGACGGGUGAGUAACACGUGGAUAACCUACCUAUAAGACUGGGAUAACUUCGGGAAACCGGAGCUAAUACCGGAUAAUAUUUUGAACCGCAUGGUUCAAAAGUGAAAGACGGUCUUGCUGUCACUUAUAGAUGGAUCCGCGCUGCAUUAGCUAGUUGGUAAGGUAACGGCUUACCAAGGCAACGAUGCAUAGCCGACCUGAGAGGGUGAUCGGCCACACUGGAACUGAGACACGGUCCAGACUCCUACGGGAGGCAGCAGUAGGGAAUCUUCCGCAAUGGGCGAAAGCCUGACGGAGCAACGCCGCGUGAGUGAUGAAGGUCUUCGGAUCGUAAAACUCUGUUAUUAGGGAAGAACAUAUGUGUAAGUAACUGUGCACAUCUUGACGGUACCUAAUCAGAAAGCCACGGCUAACUACGUGCCAGCAGCCGCGGUAAUACGUAGGUGGCAAGCGUUAUCCGGAAUUAUUGGGCGUAAAGCGCGCGUAGGCGGUUUUUUAAGUCUGAUGUGAAAGCCCACGGCUCAACCGUGGAGGGUCAUUGGAAACUGGAAAACUUGAGUGCAGAAGAGGAAAGUGGAAUUCCAUGUGUAGCGGUGAAAUGCGCAGAGAUAUGGAGGAACACCAGUGGCGAAGGCGACUUUCUGGUCUGUAACUGACGCUGAUGUGCGAAAGCGUGGGGAUCAAACAGGAUUAGAUACCCUGGUAGUCCACGCCGUAAACGAUGAGUGCUAAGUGUUAGGGGGUUUCCGCCCCUUAGUGCUGCAGCUAACGCAUUAAGCACUCCGCCUGGGGAGUACGACCGCAAGGUUGAAACUCAAAGGAAUUGACGGGGACCCGCACAAGCGGUGGAGCAUGUGGUUUAAUUCGAAGCAACGCGAAGAACCUUACCAAAUCUUGACAUCCUU